rnacentral:rRNA from 1 species
UACGUAGGGUGCGAGCGUUGUUCGGAAUGACUGGGCGUAAAGGGCGCGUAGGCGGGUUUACAAGUCGUCUGUGAAAUCCCCGGGCUUAACCUGGGAACUGCAGACGAUACUGUGAGUCUUGAGUGCUUGAGAGGGUGGUGGAAUUCCUAGUGUAGAAGUGAAAUUCGUAGAUAUUAGGAGGAACACCGGAGGCGAAGGCGGCCACCUGGCAAGACACUGACGCUGAGGCGCGAAAGUGUGGGGAUCAAACAGG